rnacentral:lncRNA from 1 species
UUUUUUUACAUGUGCUUAUUUAGGGGUUAACCAUAAACUUUUAAUCUUGUAAUACAGAUUUUCAUGACACAUAAUCUACAAAGCUUUAUGGCACAUUUUUGAGUUUCUAGACCAACCACCAAUUUAAAUGUGUUGAAAAUAAGCUCUACCCAAAUGGAUCCUAGUUCUAGAAAUCGUCAUGUACAAUGGAGCGAUUGUAUGAUAAUUGAACUACUGCAUCAAGUAUUGGCCAGCCCCAAAAGGAGUGACAAUGGCUUUUCAUCAUAUCAUGUGUCCAAAGCAAUUGAGAGUAUGUACAAUGGAUGCCGAGUCGUGGUGUUAAUAAGAAUGUGAGGAUGUGAUGAAGACUUUGAAAAAAAAGAAUAUGUUGAAGUUCGUCAGUUUUAAGUAUGGAUGAUUUUGGAUUAGAUACUAACACUAGACAUUUCACAACCGAUGUACUAGUUUGGAAGGAGUUUCUAAAGGUACAUAUUUCAUCGACCAAUGAAAUUAUUAGUCAUUACUUAUUAGUAGUAUAGUUUGUUUUGAAUAUUAACUACGUAUAAAACAUAUUCCACUCUUCGUUUUUUGCAGGGGGCAGAACAAAAUUUGGAAAGUAGAGGACCAAACUAUGUCCUCAUUAUGAUGAUUUGGAAGCUAUCUUUACAAAUGAUUAUGUUAUAGGAGAUCACGCUAUAACCGACAAUGACAAUUUUUCCUCCAUUAAUUGUAUGUAAAAGAUUGUACAUAAAAAA